rnacentral:rRNA from 1 species
GACGAACGCUGGCGGCGUGCUUAACACAUGCAAGUCGAACGGAAAGGCCCUGCUUUUGUGGGGUGCUCGAGUGGCGAACGGGUGAGUAACACGUGAGUAACCUGCCCUUGACUGUGGGAUAACUUCAGGAAACUGGGGCUAAUACCGGAUAUGAGCUCCUGCUGCAUGGUGGUGGUUGGUAAGUUUCGGCGGUUGGGGAUGGACUCGCGGCUUAUCAGCUUGUUGGUGUGGUAGUGGCUUACCAAGGCUUUGACGGGUAGGCGGCCUGAGAGGGUGACCGGCCACAUUGGGACUGAGAUACGGCCCAGACUCCUACGGGAGGCAGCAGUGGGGAAUAUUGCACAAUGGGCGGAAGUCUGAUGCAGCGACGCCGCGUGCGGGAUGACGGCCUUCGGGUUGUAAACCGCUUUCGCAUGUGACGAAGCGUGAGUGACGGUAAUGAGUAAAGAAGCACCGGCUAACUACGUG